rfam:Papio anubis isolate 1X1155 chromosome 14, whole genome shotgun sequence.
UAAUAUGGCAGCAAUCUGGCUGACAUCUGUCCCUCCUUUGACUACCCUUGGUUAGUUCUAGCUGAUCUGGCAAGCUGAAUAGCUAUCCUCUUUGCCCGCUGUGUUCCAUGGACAUUGUCAAUGAAAAUGCAUUUCCAAUGGAGAAUCACAGCUUUCCUGUUAGAGGAAAAUUCUUUGGUUAAGAGUGUAGAAGUAGCAGCUCUCCUUUACCAGAACAUUCAAACACACUCUAAGUUUAUUCUUUAGAGAAUGUUGUCUCAAAGAUAGAUCGAUCUAUCUAUUUAUCUAUCCAUCUAUCUAUCUAUCUAUCCUU